rnacentral:rRNA from 1 species
ACGCUCGACACCUACGGGAGGCAGCAGUGGGGAAUAUUGCACAAUGGGGGAAACCCUGAUGCAGCGACGCCGCGUGGAGGAAGAAGGUCUUCGGAUUGUAAACUCCUGUUGUUGGGGAAAAAGNGGAUGGUACCCGACAAGGAAGUGACGGCUAACUACGUGCUAGCAGCCGCGGUAAUCUGAGCGGGCUGGCAAGGC